rnacentral:pre_miRNA from 1 species
GGCGUUGGUUUAUCGCGAGCGAGGUAUGGAGUUCUUACUGUGAGUCAAACCCAGGUAGGAACUUCAUACCAUGCUCGCGAUGGAAUGCAACCC